AUCAUAUGUCACAGUGCAGAGGAAGCCUCUGCACCACUUGUGAUAUCAUCAGUCCCUGCUCCAAUGGUCAAGGGUGCCUUAGGAUUUAGUUUGCUUUGUGAGACUUUUUUAGUUUGUUUGGUGCUUUUGAGAACAGGUGGGAAUGUGAGGUGGCAGCUGGAUAAAGAUGUGUAGACCUAUUGCCAUGCAGCUUGUUGGAGGAAGCUGCAGCUAGGAGCCUCUGCAGUGCCAUGGAGCCCAGCCCUGAGCAACAUAACCAGGAAGGUACCAAGUGUCUUCCAUCAGACCCUCCAGUGGCUCAAGGGGUGCUGUAGGGGAUGUCUGUGAUUUUCAACCUGAAGUCCCUGCUUGCAGUUAUAAGGUCCUGAAUCUUGAUCCGUGGCUUCUCCUCACUAUGGAUUGAUCUUCAAAGAUCAAUUUUACUGUGGAGGAUGGAAACAUUCUGUAAUGGGAACGGGGCUCUGAAUAGCAGUGUCUUACAAUGAAACCCCAUAAUUCUCCCUGAGUUCAGAGGCCGACAAACUAUAACUGGCCACAGAGAAAUGCUGUUAGUAGCCAUGUGGGGCAUGAAUCAUAGAAUCACCAAUGUUGGAAAAGAGCUACAAGAUCAUCUGCCUAUCACCAAUAAUUCUCACUAAACCAUGUCCCUCAACAGAAUGUCUAAACGUUCCUUGACCAUUCCCAAUGUCAGUGACUCCAUCACAAACCUCCUUGGUCACUCAUCUGUUGGGCAAGGAAGAAGAAUGAGUUGAAUCACUGAAACUGACAGAUCCAAAUCCAAAGAUUACAUAUGUUAAGG